rnacentral:rRNA from 1 species
UUCACAGCAAUAUCACCCUGCAGCCCAAGACUGGUUGCCCACUGAAGCUAAGCAGGGUUGAGCCUGGUCAGUACCUGGAUGGGAGACAUCCUGGGAAAACUAGGUUGCUGCUGGAA